rnacentral:rRNA from 1 species
GACAGAGGGGGCAAGCGUUGCUCGGAAUUACUGGGCGUAAAGGGCGCGUAGGCGGGCUGGCAAGUCGGUCGUGAAAUCCCUCGGCUCAACCGAGGAACGUCGAUCGAUACUGCUGUUCUUGAGGAUUGCAGAGGAGACUGGAAUUCCCGGUGUAGCGGUGAAAUGUGUAGAGAUCGGGAGGAACACCGGUGGCGAAGGCGGGUCUCUGGGCAAUUCCUGACGCUGAGGCGCGAAAGCGUGGGGAGCAAACGGG